rnacentral:lncRNA from 10 species
CUCAGUGCUUACCCAGUGCCUGGCUCAUGGUGGAUGUUCAGUGAGCAUGUGUCAGAAGAAGACAUUAUGCUGUGAGCUCUCUGAAGCUUGUGAGCUGGCCCCAGGGAAUGCAAGUCCAACUGUCUUUGGUGUUGGAGGUAACUGAACACCAAGUCCUGGCCAGUCUCUCCCGGAUGCUGUGCACUGUGUUCUCAGGGAGGCAGGAGGACUCGCAGCGGAUGCCAGGGACACGUGCCCAUUUCUUCCUCCCACGUCAGCCUCCCCUUUUCCGGCCACAUUUCAAACAAGUCUCAAAAGCCUGACCAUGCCAUGUAGCUUUUCCAAACUCACCUUGAGUAAACACACAGCUGCUGCCUCUCACCCACUGAGCUCAAAUCUAUCAUCAUUUUUGUAUUGUGCACUCAUGUAUGGUUUGGCUGCAUGCAACAAGGUGCCGAUCUGCCUCUUCAUGGAAGCAUCGAGGGUCUUGGACCGUGAACUGCUGUGGUGAGACGACGAGAAGGGGACAUUGGGAUUUAGCAGUUGGCACAAGGCCUCCUGGAGCAAUUCCAGGACCCCUCUGGGGAGUUACAAUGGUGGUGACAGGGAAGAUUUACCAUCUGGGACUGUGCUAGGUGCCAAGCGAAGCAGAGCUUGUCAGGUUCCUGGAACCGAGUAUUAACGAUUCCAAUCAAGCAGGAAAUGUCUGUGCCUGUUCUUUGCUAAGCUGGAUUCCUCGCUCACUAGGCAUCAAGGUGCCUGCGGAGUACGCUAGGCAUGAGAAAGGUCUCGGGAGGCCGAGAGUGCCUGGCCUGCCCUCUGGCCCCACCCCAGGUCACGCUUGGGGUCCCUGUAGGCUGCUCACUGGUAAUGGAGGAAGCCUUCAUGGACUUGGGUCCCAUCAGGCUGGCUCUCGGAGAAGCCCUGCAGAACUGUGGUUUGGUUUUAAUGAGGGGAGAAGAUUCCAAAAGUUUAUCAUGAAAAGCCCCAUGACCACCUGUGUUUUAGAGACUUUGAUGACUUCAGAGGCCUUGAAAUACAAUCCCAGAGAAAAACAGUCAGCUUUGGACAUAAUAUGAAGAACUGAAGCUUUCCUCAAGAUAACCUUUAGGAAAACUAACAGCUUCAAAGAGAAGAACCAAGAUAAGCAACCCAAGGUUGGUUCCCAGGGAAAGGAGAGACGAUUCAAGAUGUGGACGUCUCAGAGCGCCAUGUCAGCACAUUGCUUCCAAGAAACAACAGUAGGUUGACCCAGUAAAGGUGCAGAGAACAAGAGUUCUUGAAGAUUAUUGGUUAGACUGAAAAUUGAAACGUGACAUGAUUUUGAGUAUUUACUGGAGUAUAAGAAAAAAGAACCCAUGUGACUUUGAUGCUUGGAACUGAUUUAGUACCAGUGAAUUAUAUUUAUUUCUCCAAUCACACUACUUAGUUCUGCAAUGACUAAUAUUUAUAUAAUUAAAAUAAUGUAAAUAUUGUUUCUUCGGUUGCAAUUUUUAGAAUCAACUUCUGGCAGAGCACCAAAGACCUAAUUAAUUUACAAAACAGAAUGCAAACAUUAUAAUAUGGGUGCUGUGAAAGUAACAGUAGCAUUAAUAGCAGUCGGGCAAAGAUGGGGAGAAGGGUAGGGUGAGGAAGGAAUAGCAAGAUCCUCAUGUUGCCCAGGGGAGGCUCAAGAGGAACGGUCUCCUGUUAAUGGAAAAAGAAACAGCAAAGUUAUAAAGGGAAACAAACCAAUGGGAAAAACUAUUAAUAUAUGUUGAUGAAAGACAAGUCUUAGAGGGUUGCGGAGGAAAGAGUGUAAGAAAACAGCCUGUUGCAAGGCAAGAGUAAUGCCACCUGAAGUGAAAUCACCAUCAGGAUCGAUGUUUGACUCCUGAAUACCAAGGUGUUCCUGCAGUCAGGCCAAGAAACAAUUCCUGUAGCAUAGAUAACCCCUUAUAAAGAUGCUUAUCUAACUUUCCCAGUGGUCACACACUUUGUGGGAGGGUCUGAGACGUGACCAACUGUACAUGUUUUACCAAAAGCAGCUUGCUAUAUAAAGACUACUUUCUGGAGGGCAAGUAUAGGAAUCAACCGUCUCUUGGCCACCAG